AUGCUCACUUCACCAGCAAAUACACUAAAAUUGAAACAAUACAGAGAAGAUAACAUGACCUCUG
ensembl:snRNA Gm55119 predicted gene, 23643